GGGCCGUUAGCUCAAUUGGUAGAGCAACUGACUCUUAAUCAGUAGGUUACUGGUUCGAUUCCAGUACGGCUCA
rnacentral:tRNA from 1 species